CAGGGAGACAACAAAAUGUUUAAUAUUAUUAUUUUGUCACCUUAGGUCGAUCGGUAUCUCACAUUUUUAAUUUAUUAAGAAUUUCAUUUCCUAAGUUUUUCUAGGUCACACCCAUUAUUUUUCCUGGGCCAUUAGCUCAGGUGGUUAGAGCGCACCCCUGAUAAGGGUGAGGUCCCUGGUUCAAGUCCAGGAUGGCCCAUAUCUCUAUGUUGGGGGUAUAGCUCAGUUGGUAGAGCGCCUGCUUUGCAAGCAGGAUGUCAGCGGUUCGAGUCCGCUUACCUCCACUGAUCACCACCUCUUCCAUAAUCGGUAGAAAGGAAAUUUUUUGAGUUGUGAUCAAAUUCUGAAAGAAUCUAGCUUCCUAAUGAAAUCAUUAAGAUGCUGGACUCAUUGAAUUAAUUUCAUUGUUUUCAGAGAACCUUGACAACUGCAUAGAUUAUUUUUAAAGACAAUAAGCAUCUUUAAUGAUGCAGAUUUAUUAUUUGUGCAAAUGCAUUAAUAACAAUUCUAUUAAGCUGAUGCUUCAAUUUUUGAAGUUAUU
rnacentral:tRNA from 1 species